GACGAACGCUGGCGGCGUGCUUAACACAUGCAAGUCGAACGAAGUGGCGAACGGGUGAGUAACGCGUAAUCAACCUGCCCUUGAGAGGGGAACAACAGGUGGAAAGGAAGGCUAAUCCACAAUACGGAAUGAGGGGAGUGCGUCUGAUUAGCUAGUUGGAGGGGAAAAGGCCAACCAGGCCGAUGAUCAGUAGCCGGUUUGAGAGGAUGAACGGCCACAUUGGGACUGAGACACGGCCCAGACUCCUACGGGAGGCAGCAGUGGGGAAUCUUCCGCAAUGGACGAAAGUCUGACGGAGCAACGCCGCGUGAGUGAUGGCGGCCUUCGGGUUGGAAAGCUCUGUUAAUCGGGACGCGGUACCGGAAUAGAAAGCAACGGCUAACUACGUGCCAGCAGCCGCGGUAAUUC
rnacentral:rRNA from 1 species